UUAAUUGCUCCAAAAAUCUUGCAUCAUGAUAUAAAAACAGUUUUGUACAUUUUGUGAUUUUCAAAUAUUCAAGUUAUAAAAUUAAAAUGCCACUGGCCAAAGAUAACUAAGAGAUGCACGAAAAAAUAAGGUACAGUACAUGAAUGAAGGAGUUAUAAGCAACUUCCUAAUACCUCAUUUCUAUCUAUUGAUGUGAUUUUUCUCUAUUUUCAUCCAAAGAUCUGCCAUAACUUGUUGAUGUGACCUGACCCAAGAAGACAAGGGUCUCAACAUCAGCGCCGAGUUAGGAGCACAUGUGAUGCCUCGGAAGACAUCUAGUCAAAUAGAACAAACUCCAGGAAAACAAGGAUAAAGAUGGCACUGAAGAAGUGAUCAGAAGGAUGUUAUAUCUAGGAAGAACAAAAUAAAGGGAAAGAGAAAACCAAAAUCGUCAAAUUCUCUUAAAGGUGAUAAUUAGCCACAGUACAAGAAGGUUCAGAAGAGAUGACGCAGUUAAACAAUAAGAGUUUCUUACACUGAACCCAUAACUGGUCUGCAAGAUACUGUAACUCUACAUACUGUACAAACUUUUCAGUUAUGAGACUAAAGUCUGAGGAUUAAAUGUACACAUUGUACAUACAGUAAUAACUCUUGAGAAAAGACUGGCAGCCAAGAUAACCCUCGUGAUGCACUGCCAAACAUAGUAAGCCACAUCACCAGCUUCUUUGCUCUUGUUUCUGUUUCCUUGUCACAUACUGUACACUUAUAUAAAAACUUUAUGUAAUUCACCAGCAAUCACUGCUUUCUCACAAUGCUCCUGCUGUGAUAACUCAGCUUUGGAUAAGCCUUUAUACAGCUCAGCAAAUAAGCUUCCAACUGCCAGGUAAGACCCACACUAAACUUCAAAACCUGGAAGCAUGACGGGUCCAUU